UGCUUUGGGCUGGGUGUUCCUCAAAUCCACUUCUCCCCCACCCCAAACAGUUUGGGUGGGGUGGGAAGAGGGGUGUUGCAUCUCGGUUUUGGAAAAGAUCUCUAGGCUUCAAAGGCAUGGAUGGAGCUUUUGACAUCUGCGUCGGCAGCGCGCGUUUAGGGGGAAAGUGUGGGAUUGAGCAGCUGGCCCUCAAUCGCCAGAAGAAGUUGAAUGACACAGGGUGUAAUUAAGUGACAAGAACCUAACAACCCAGGCGGGAACUGGUAAUCCCAUGAAUCUGAUUAUGAUAAAAACAUGACCAAAUAAUCCCAGGAAAGAUGUAAUUGUGAAAAUCUCCCUGCCUCCCCCUUCCCAGCCUCCUUUGACGUGAAGGUAACAGCAGCAAAACCAUCCGUGACAUCUUUCCUUACCUAUCUCUGAAAGGGAAAAGCCAGAAAGACCCUGAGCCUUCGAAUCAAUGUGAGAAAUCACCAUUUGUCUGUGUGCAAAUGCACUCGAGCCUCGGUGAGGUGUGCUUGAUGCCGUGCGAGCGCGCAGGUGCGGGGCUGAUGCGAUCUGAGGGUGUUUCCCCCUCCAGGUGUGGCGUGUGCCAGCUUUGAUGAGGGUGGGUUUGAUUAAUUCUGCCCGACUGCUCUGUGUAUCUCAGGCAAAUGUUCUUCAGCGCCGCAUGGUGAUGUGAUUUCUUACUGUGUGAUGUUUAAUCCCUACCCAUAACCGCAAAGGGGGAGACGUGGGCGUGCGGGCGAGCGGGGUUUGGCUGCCUGGUCCCCAAAGCCUCCGUCGGCAGGUGCUGAGCCCCAGGGAGAGCAUCUGGAAGUGCCCAGCUCUGCGGAUGGACGUGGAUGGCUCCGUGCAAAGCUAAGCCCAGCGUUUCGCGCCAGCUUAAAAUACGUUGCUGCUGGUUUCACUGUUUUUCCCUUUUUCCUUCCUGCUCCAGCCCGGAUGUGUCGGCUGUGACACCUGCCAGGGUUGUGCCCCUCCCUUUGCUCCCUGUUCCCCUCAGUAAUGCUGUUCUAACUCUUCACCAGAAUGUAUUUCCUCUUCAGAAUAGGGUAGGUUUGGUGGCUGGUGGUUUUCUGGAUUGCAUAGGCCUUUUUUUUUGGUUUGUUUUUAGCAGGCAAGGUGUAACCCGAGAACAGCCGGGCUCACUUUCCUGCUCUGCCUCCACUCUCUGACUGCGUGGCCUUGGGCAAGUCACUUGACCUCUCUGUGCCUCAGUUCUCCCAUCUGUAAAAUGGGGAUAAGUCAUAUUUGAGCACUUUGGACAAGCACUUGGUGGCCUACAGACUGCAAGUGCUAUGUAAAUGCUUAGUGCUAAUACCAAGCAAUCCCUACCUUUAAAAUAUUUAGAGUUGAUUCUUUUUUUUUGGUUUGAAGUGGUAAAAUCAACCACUGCAUCCAGGUUUGCACAGUUCUUCCUCUGCGGUAAAGUGCUAAACCCUCCAGCCUGCCUGGGAAUAAAACACCGAGUGUUUCAUGUAGAUAUUCUUGCUUUGAGUGGAUUCAGGCUGUAGAAAAAGUGUCAGGAGAGCUGGAGAGCCUGCAGGCAUGUUUUUAGCCCCAGGCUCUCUAUUUGCAUAUGAAACUUUUGUUUAUUCCCAGGUAGAAUUGCCAAGAGAUUCUCUGCAAUCUCGCCUUUAAUUCUGCUUUGCCUUGGUUUUUGCUCUUGCUGCUGGUUGAACCUCCAAGGGCUGAGAUGUUUGGAGGAAGACGUGAGCUCUCGGUUGUGAUCUGGCUCUCUGACCAUGCCACGCUUUUAGGUCGGAGCCUGUUGAUUGCUCUGCCUCCUUAUACCUGGUUUUAGAGGUUGUGCUUCCUUUCCCAGCAGGAUGCUCGGGAACCUGUGGCCACCAAAAGCAGAGCACCGUGUCUUUUCCAAUCUCCAGGCCCUAAGUAAGGUUUGAACCGCUGGACAAUGAAUCCUCUAAAUCGAUAACCAGAUAUUUCUGAGCUUUAACAACUUUCUCAAACCAUCACCAGGUUUGUCUUGGGAAGGAGGGAGGGUCUGGCAGAAAUGCCCCUCUCUUUCCAGCCUGUACCAGGGCUUUUUAUUGACCUGACGAGUGACCUGACGUAAGAACCUCAACUCUCAGAGUGAGAACUCAACCUUGCUAACAGUAUGACUGCGAAUUUCUUUUCUUUGGGUGUGUUUUUAGGGUUUUUUCCCUAGAACCUGCUCGGAUCUGAAUUGAUUUAAUGCCAUUCUCCCGCUCGGCAGCGGGGAAAACUCUGCCUGGCUUGGCCAACUUCAGCUCGCCGGUCCCUCCAGCUGGGCUGCUCCUGAUGGACAGCCUCUGGAACAGAGGGUUGCUUUUCCAUUUGAGUGCUUUCCAAACGAUUUACGACACCCGUUCGGAUGGGCCAGGCGCUGUCUUCAGGCUCUUGAGGUUUCUACCUCAGGACUAUGCCCCAUCCCAUCUUAAGGAGCUCUAGAGGACUUGGAGUGCAGGGCAGGUUGACGGAGCAUGCUGGCUUGCUGGGUCAGUCUUUUGAGAUUUGUUUUCCUUUUGCAGGUGUUUUGAGCCACUGGGCUUUUCAUGGUCUUCGACCUUUAGAGGCUGGAGCUGCAGCCCUCUCUCUUUCAGCCGUGUACCUGCCACGCUGCUGGAGUGGGAAAUCCCGCCCGGGCGCCUCGUGGAAGCAGCUCCUCCCUAAAACCAUCCUUAACUCCUUUCCCUGCUAGACCGAGUUACCUUCUGAUAGACUCGGGCCGUGCUUUGGCUGACUGGCUCGCCUCUUGCUUUGGCAACCUCCUCCUCGCUUCUCCCAGCCCUCUGGUUUCCAUGCCCUUCAGGGUCGCUCCUCUCUCCUUCCGUGGACCUGGAAACAUCGAAGCCGUGUCAGACGAUGCCAAACACUUCCCCCAUUUCACCCCCGUUUGAACUCCGUGUCGCUUUGGUGGUUUGCAAACACAGCUGCUGUCGCUGCUGCUGCUGCUUCUUCAUUAUUUUUAUUUUUUUUUUUCCUUUCAUGCUGCAAAAUAUAUCUUGAUUUUUAUCUUU